rnacentral:siRNA from 1 species
AUAUGAAAGUGCUUAAUCUCAUA